rnacentral:sRNA from 1 species
UAACACGUGUCCCUGUGUCUGGGUGACCAUUUUUCCCUGGAUGGUCAGCUCAUGGGAGGGGCUCCCAGCACCAGGCUGCAGAGGGCCCGGUGGCCCGACCAGGAUCCUCACCUGUCUCUCCCCGUUCCAGCAACAUUCCAACGCAUCCCAGUCCCUGUGUGACAUCAUCCGCCUGAGCCGGGAGCAGAUGAUCCAAGUCCAGGACAGCCCGGAGCCUGACCAACUGCUGGCCACCCUGGAGAAGCAGGAGACGAUUGAGCAGCUCUUAAGCAACAUGUUCGAGGGGGAGCAGAGCCAGUCUGUCAUCGUCAGUGGGAUCCAGGUGCUGCUGACCCUGCUGGAGCCCAGGAGGCCGAGGUCCGAGUCCGUGACCGUGAGCAACUUCUUCAGCAGUGUGGAUGGGCAGCUGGAGCUCCUGGCCCAGGGGGCCCCGGAAAGCACUGUGUCCAGUGUGGGCGCCUUGCACGCCCUACGCCCGCGGCUCAGCUGCUUCCACCAGCUCCUACUGGAGCCUCCCAAG